AGUCAAUGAUCGUAAGAUUGACCUAGUUACUUAACACGGUAUUUACAAUGAAUAAAAAAUAAUUAUAAUAAUAAUUAUUAAAUAAAGUAAAAUUGAACAAACAUAAAACCGGUAUAUAAUGAAAAUAAUGAUAUUAAUUAUAUAUUAGUUCCAACUAAGAUACGUGCCAGCAGCUGCGGUUAGACGUUGGGAGCAAGCGUUAAUCAUAAUGGCUUAAAGUGUCCGUAGAAUGAUUUAUUCUUAAAUUAGAAUUAAUUUAUAAUGAUAUAUGAAUGAUAAAUAGUAGGGAUGAAAUGACUAUAAUAAUUAUUAGACAAUCAAAGGUGAAAACAUAUAUCAAAAAUUAAUUGACAUUGAGGGACGAAAGCUAGAAUAGCGAUACGGAUUCGAUACCCGAGUAGUUCUAGCAGUAAACGAUGAAUACUAAAUAUUAAAGUGAAAACUUAAGUAUUCCGCCUGACGAGUACGUUUGAAAAAAUGAAACUUAAGACAAUAGACGGUUACAGACCACAGCAGUGGAGUAUGUUAU
rnacentral:rRNA from 1 species